AAGCCCACUGGCAAAGUGAAGAGAAUCUCUGCAAUAAAGGCACACCAGACCACCAUGCUUGCAACUGGAGUAGAGUGCUGUCUACAGGGAGCCACUUGAUGUGUGCCAACUCCAGCACCCCUCAGCCUUACAUCGAUGCUGGAAGACUUGAGCAGCACCAAAGAGAUGGAGUUUCCAAAUUUUAUGGGAGAGAGGAUUUCAGUGACCAAACCUGAACGCCAUGCUCACUCUUGCUGAGGGGACUGGUCAGAUCUUUUCAGAGUUUUUGGCAGGAGAAGUCCUUGAGAAGCAAGUGUGGACAAGAGGAAAUGACUGACAAACGCAGCACAGGAAUCGUCAAAACAGCACAGAAAUCUGGCUUUGGAAAAAACCGAGAUUCUUUAGAGUAACUGUCAUGAGACUAUUUCAAAUGAAAAUAAUGAAAGUGAGUUUCAAUUUCUAUGCCUAGUGCUACUUCAUUCUGUAUUACUAAGAUACACCUUGGUCUCUGAAUCUGCUGGCUGUCCCCCAAAUUUUCUCUAGAGAAUAAUUUUAGGAACCCUGACCUUGAAGAUCCUGUAUUAGAAACCAAACAAUGAGGAUAAAUCCUUUGAACAUUUCUUGUUUCUUCUGGUAGUUUCAUUUGCAAUGACUAUUUGCCCUAAAUUAAAGCGAAGUCGGACAGAAGAAAUCAAACUCUGGGGAAGAGAUUGGGAAUGCUGGGGAUAUCUGUGAAGCUUAAGAAGAGGAAAGAGAUUAUAAUUAGUUUUGAACCAUGUUUUGAUAAUCUACUUGUGUAAAAAAUGUUACUUUCUUCAUAACAACACACAAAUUUGCUGAAGAAUUAACUCUGGAAAAUAUAGGUAAUCUUACAUCUUAAAGAUUAAAAAAUAAAGAUUGCUAGAAAUGAUAUAAUUGAGUGUUUUUAAAUUGGCUAAUUUUUAUUUAAUGUUUAAAAUUGGCAAAUUAAUACCUUGCUACCAAGAU